CGGGGGCCCUUAUAAUGCAAGUCGACGAUAUUAAGGAGCUUGCUCCUUAAGAAAGUGGCGCACGGGUGCGUAACGCGUAUGCAACCUACCUUAAUCAGGGGGAUAGCCCGAAGAAAUUCGGAUUAACACCGCAUAAAAACACAGGAUAGCAUUAUCCAAUGUUCAAAUAUUUAUAGGAUUAAGAUGGGCAUGCGUGUCAUUAGCUAGUUGGCGGGGUAACGGCCCACCAAGGCGACGAUGACUAGGGGAUCUGAGAGGAUGACCCCCCACACUGGUACUGAGACACGGACCAGACUCCUACGGGAGGCAGCAGUAAGGAAUAUUGGUCAAUGGAGGCAACUCUGAACCAGCCAUGCCGCGUGCAGGAAGACAGCCCUCUGGGUCGUAAACUGCUUUUAUUCGGGAAUAAACCACAUUACGUGUAAUGUGCUGAAUGUACCGAAGGAAUAAGGAUCGGCUAACUCCGUGCCAGCAGCCGCGGUAAUACGGAGGAUCCAAGCGUUAUCCGGAUUUAUUGGGUUUAAAGGGUGCGUAGGCGGCUUAUUAAGUCAGGGGUGAAAGACGGUGGCUCAACCAUCGCAGUGCCCUUGAUACUGAUGAGCUUGAAUACACUAGAGGUAGGCGGAAUGUGACAAGUAGCGGUGAAAUGCAUAGAUAUGUCACAGAACACCGAUUGCGAAGGCAGCUUACUAUGGUGUGAUUGACGCUGAGGCACGAAAGCGUGGGGAUCAAACAGGAUUAGAUACCCUGGUAGUCCACGCCCUAAAACGAUGAAUACUCGCUGUUAGCGAUACACAGUUAGCGGCUAAGCGAAAGCGUUAAGUAUUCCACCUGGGGAGUACGGUCGCAAGAUUGAAACUCAAAGGAAUUGACGGGGGCCCGCACAAGCGGAGGAGCAUGUGGUUUAAUUCGAUGAUACGCGAGGAACCUUACCCGGGCUUGAAGGUAAGUGAUCAUUUAGAGAUAGAUGAGUGAGCAAUCACACGAAACUAGGUGCUGCAUGGCUGUCGUCAGCUCGUGCCGUGAGGUGUUGGGUUAAGUCCCGCAACGAGCGCAACCCCUAUGUUUAGUUGCCAGCACGUUAAAGUUGGGGACUCUUAAACAGAACUGCCUGUGCAAACAGAGAGGAAGGAGGGGAACGACGUCAAGUCAUUCAUGGCCCUUUAACGUUCCGGGGGCUCUCCAAUC
rnacentral:rRNA from 1 species